rnacentral:rRNA from 1 species
AUUGAACGCUGGCGGCGUGCCUAACACAUGCAAGUCGAGCGGUAACAGGUGUAGCAAUACAUGCUGACGAGCGGCGGACGGGUGAGUAACGCUUGGGAAUCUGCCUGUUAGUGGGGGACAACCCGGGGAAACUCGGGCUAAUACCGCAUACGCACUACGGUGGAAAGCCGGGGACCGCAAGGCCUGGCGCUAACAGAUGAGCCCAAGUCGGAUUAGCUAGUUGGUAGGGUAACGGCCACCAAGGCGACGAUCCGUAACUGGUCUGAGAGGACGACCAGUCACACCGGAACUGAGACACGGUCCGGACUCCUACGGGAGGCAGCAGUGGGGAAUAUUGGACAAUGGGCGAAAGCCUGAUCCAGCGACGCCGCGUGGGUGAAGAAGGCCUGCGGGUUGUAAAGCCCUUUCGGUGGGGAAGAAAAGCCUCGAGUUAACACCUCGGGGUCUUGACGUAA